AUGAUAGUUGAGGAGAUUCCGAAUAGCCCAAAACAACAUGCAUGUGUGUGGAAACGAUCUGCCCAAGGAUCUGUUGCGCGCAAAGUUGUUAAGGGUAAGAGGAAGGUGGAUGCAAAAGAUGGAUGUCAACUAUCAAAGGCAAAAAAGAAGGCAAAGAAAUCCAUAGGUGAUUCUGCAGCUGGAUCCUCAGGUUUGGAAGCACGUUGUGAGAGGUUGAGGGUUUCUAUUGGAAUGACUGUAACUGUAGAGUAG